rnacentral:rRNA from 1 species
CCUGAUGAAUCAGUUGUACUAACCGUCCUGAAGCCGCUGGAUCACCUUCGGGUGACGUGUGGUGGAUGCACGGGACAUCGGCUGGUAGUAGUCAAGCGAUGGGGUGACGCAGGAAGGUAGUGGGGCCAGUCAGUGGUUGUACUGGUGUAAGCCUGUAGGGCGAGAUCUAGGCAAAUCCGGAUCUCAUCAAGCCUGAGAGGUGAUGCGUAGCCGUUGCGGCGAAUUCCAUGAUCCUAUGCUGCCGAGAAAAGCCUCUAGCGAUAUCUGAUGUGGCCCGUACCCCAAACCAACACGGGUGGUCAGGUAGAGAAUACCAAGGAGAUCGAGAGAACUGUGGUUAAGGAACUCGGCAAAAUGCCCCCGUAACUUCGGGAGAAGGGGGACCUCGCAUGGUGACCGGAUUUACUCCGUAAGCUGUGUGGGGUCGCAGAGGCCAGAGAGAAGCGACUGUUUACUAAAAACACAGGUCCAUGCGAAGUCGUAAGACGAUGUAUAUGGACUGACGCCUGCCCGGUGCUGGAAGGUUAAGAGGACCGGUUAGCCGUAAGGCGAAGCUGAGAAUUUAAGCCCCAGUAAACGGCGGUGGUAACUAUAACCAUCCUAAGGUAGCGAAAUUCCUUGUCGGGUAAGUUCCGACCUGCACGAAUGGCGUAACGACUUCUCUGCUGUCUCAACCACAGACUCGGCGAAAUUGCAGUACGAGUAAAGAUGCUCGUUACGCGCGGCAGGACGAAAAGACCCCGGGACCUUCACUAUAGCUUGGUAUUGGUGUUCGGUUCGGUUUGUGUAGGAUAGGCGGGAGACUGUGAAGCGGGCACGCCAGUGUUCGUGGAGUCGUUGUUGAAAUACCACUCUGAUCGUAUUGGAUACCUCAACCUCGGACCAUGAUCUGGUUCAGGGACAGUGCCUGGUGGGUAGUUUAACUGGGGCGGUUGCCUCCCAAAAUGUAACGGAGGCGCCCAAAGGUUCCCUCAGCCUGGUUGGCAAUCAGGUGUUGAGUGCAAGUGCACAAGGGAGCUUGACUGUGAGACUGACAGGUCGAGCAGGGACGAAAGUCGGGACUAGUGAUCCGGCACCGGCAAGUGGAAGCGGUGUCGCUCAACGGAUAAAAGGUACCCCGGGGAUAACAGGCUGAUCUUCCCCAAGAGUCCAUAUCGACGGGAUGGUUUGGCACCUCGAUGUCGGCUCGUCGCAUCCUGGGGCUGGAGUAGGUCCCAAGGGUUGGGCUGUUCGCCCAUUAAAGCGGCACGCGAGCUGGGUUUAGAACGUCGUGAGACAGUUCGGUCUCUAUCCGCCGCGCGCGUUAGAAACUUGAGGAAGGCUGUCCCUAGUACGAGAGGACCGGGACGGACGAACCUCUGGUGUGCCAGCUGUUCCACCAGGAGCACGGCUGGUUGGCUACGUUCGGAAGGGAUAACCGCUGAAAGCAUCUAAGCGGGAAGCCUGUUCCAAGAUUAGGUUUCUCACCACCUUGAGUGGGUAAGACCCCCUACAGACUAUGGGGUUGAUAGGCCAGAACUGGAAGCGCAGUAAUGCGUGCAGGUGA